UAAGAAGGGUGCAAGCGUUAUUCGGAAUCACUGGGCGUAAAGCGCAUGUAGGUGGAGAAGAAAGUCAGAUGUGACAUCCCGGGGCUCAACUUCGGAAUUGCAUUUGAAACUUCUUUUCUUGAGAUUGGGAGAGGGAGGCAGAAUUCCAGGUGUAGAGGUGAAAUUCGUAGAUAUCUGGAGGAAUACCGGAGGCGAAGGCGGCUUCCUGGUCCAAUACUGACACUGAGAUGCGAAAGCGUGGGGAGCAAACAGG
rnacentral:rRNA from 1 species